UCCGCCACAAGCGAACGAGCCUGGGCUGGCCUUGUGGAAGCCUAGCCGAGGCCUCAGAAUAUGGAUGAGAUCAUCUGAGACCAUCCACCCCAGGAAGCCAGCAAAGUGGCUAGAACCCGCCAUACCACCGCAGAAUCACGAUUGCUGUUCUGAGUCACUACAUUUCAGGUGACUUGUUGAGCAGCAAACGAGCUGACGAACCUAAAGUCAGAAGAUGCUAGCGGAAGAAACAGGACCCAGAACUCCAUUGGAAAAUGGGGUAUACAGACUUCGAGGAUGCCAGACAAAAAGAUCAUUUGAAAUAUUGUUGUCACUAAGCCUUCUUUGAUCAAGACACCAUGAGCUCAUGACAAACGCCUCAAUUUCCUUCUUCUGUAAAUAAAUUAAUACCUGGUGAGAUGUAAAAGCCCACUUGAACGGAAAACAACAUGUUUGAUGAAAUUCUGAGAGAAGAUACAACCCAAGAUAAAAAGAGAGGGGAGAGUGGAGUAAAGAACUGCCUAACCUAAUGAACUGGUCCUCUGAAGACAGUGUCUGCAAUGAAGCUGAGUCCUCUCUCUCUCCCAGGCCCGAGUGUCUACCUCUAAUUUAUUCCUGAUGAAUGACAGCAAGUUCACAGCCUCAGGCUAAUGGAAGCACGACAGUGAGCAAGACAGACAAGGUCACUACCCGCAAGGAGCUGUUGAUGGAGAAUAACAUGCAAAGAAGAAGGCAGGAUUGAGCUUUCAGCUGCUCUGUAGAUUCUCAUCAGAGGUGCAGACUCUUCUUUGUGGAUCAUACCUACAUUUUAUUUUUCCUGAAAAUAUAGUAUGUAUUCAGGGCACACAGGCAUCUUCUAUUCACUUCAUCAUCAACACUUGUCAAACAAAAACUGCUAUUCAUGCUACAGACUCAUGCAGCUCCCUGCAUUUUGAAAGAAUUGCCUCCCUCUUCUGAGCCUGGCUCAAGGUAAGACCCAUCCCUUUGUGUUCCUGUAGAGCCCUAUACUUGCACUGAUGGUGUUCUAAUUUCUUGUGUAUUGCUUGCUCUUCCACUAGACUGGAGGAUAAAGGAAAUGUGUUUCAUUAAUAUUUACUCCCACUUCCCAAACAUGUCACAAUCAGCACACAAUAGAUACGUUCUAAAUGCUCGAAGGUCUGUUGUCAAAUAUUCCUUAUAAUCGUGGUGCUGGAGUAAAA
rnacentral:lncRNA from 1 species